rnacentral:tRNA from 1 species
GACUUGAUACUUUAAGGUAAAAGAUCUGAUUUGCAUUCAGAUAAUGAGUUUUUUAAACUUUCGGGUCA